rnacentral:rRNA from 1 species
UACGUAGGGUGCGAGCGUUGUCCGGAAUUAUUGGCGUAAGAGCUGUAGCGGUUUGUCGCGUCUGCUGUGAAAUCCGGGCUCAACCCGGACUUGCAGUGGUACGGGCAGACUAGAGUGUGGUAGGGGAGACUGGAAUUCCUGGUGUAGCGGUGAAAUGCGCAGAUAUCAGGAGGAACACCGAUGGCGAAGGCAGGUCUCUGGCCACUACUGACGCUGAGAAGCGAAGCAUGGGGAGCGAACAGG